rnacentral:rRNA from 1 species
UACCAGCUCUCCGAGUGGUGUGGAUGUUUAUUGGGCCUAAAGCAUCCGUAGCUGGCUGGGCAAGUCCCCUGUUAAAUCCACCGAUUUAAUCGUUGGUGUGCGGGGGAUACUGUUCGGCUAGGGGACGGGAGAGGCCGACGGUAUUUUCGGGGGUAGGGGUGAAAUCCUAUAAUCCCGGGAAGACCACCAGUGGCGAAGGCUGUCGGCUAGAACGCGCCCGACGGUGAGGGAUGAAAGCUGGGGGAGCGAACCGGAUUAGAUACCCAGGUAGUCCCAGCUGUAAACGAUGCAGGCUAGGUGUUUGGGCGGCCACGUGCCGCUCUAGUGCCGCAGGGAGUCGUUAAGCCUGCCGCCUGGGGGAGUACGGCCGCAAGGCUGAAACUUAAAGGAAUUGGGCGGGGGAGCACCACGAAGGGGUGAAGCUUGCGGUUU